rnacentral:rRNA from 1 species
CACGUAGGGACCAAGCGUUGUCCGGAUUUAUUGGGCGUAAAGAGCUCGUAGGCGGUCGUGUAAGUCGGGUGUGAAAUCUCCGGGCUCAACUCGGAGGGGCCACCCGAUACUGCUCGACUCGAGUCCGGUAGGGGAGUGGGGAAUUCCUGGUGUAGCGGUGAAAUGCGCAGAUAUCAGGAGGAACACCGGUGGCGAAGGCGGGUCUCUGGGCCGAUACUGACGCUGAGGAGCGAAAGCGUGGGGAGCGAACAGG